rnacentral:rRNA from 1 species
GACGAACGCUGGCGGCGUGCUUAACACAUGCAAGUCGAACGGAAAGGCCCUGCUUGCAGGGUACUCGAGUGGCGAACGGGUGAGUAACACGUGGGUGAUCUGCCCUGCACUUCGGGAUAAGCCUGGGAAACUGGGUCUAAUACCGGAUAGGAGCCAUUUUUAGUGUGAUGGUUGGAAAGUUUUUUCGGUGUAGGAUGAGCUCGCGGCCUAUCAGCUUGUUGGUGGGGUAAUGGCCUACCAAGGCGGCGACGGGUAGCCGGCCUGAGAGGGUGGACGGCCACAUUGGGACUGAGAUACGGCCCAGACUCCUACGGGAGGCAGCAGGGGGGAAUAUUGCACAAUGGGCGCAAGCCUGAUGCAGCGACGCCGCGUGGGGUAUGACGGCCUUCGGGUUGUAAACUCCUUUCGCUAGGGACGAAGCUUUUUGUGACGGUACCUAGAUAAGAAGCACCGGCUAACUACGUG